AGAACACAGCUACUCACUUAAUAAGGCAUGCAAUUGGAAAUAAUGAGUAUGGGGAGGUGGACCAAGAGAAGCUUGCUGCAAUGCUGACACUGCCUGAAGACCUUGCAAGAAUGUACAGAGAUGAUAUCACAGUAACUGUGGUGUAUUUUAAUUCAGAAACAAUUGAAAAUUAUUACAAAAACAAUGAAUAGAGGCUUGCAUUACUGCUGUUCUAUACCAUUAGCCAAUUUUGAUACUGGAAACCAUUCCUGUUUGUUUUCCCUGAUAGUCAAGCUGGUACAAGUGUCAUCAUUUGGAAGUUCCUGAAACUGACCCUACUGACUAGUCCUGAAAAUACAUUUCUAGAAGUCAGUUUGGUGAAAAUUUCCUGGGUUUCCAGAUCCAGAAGUUCAAAAGUACAUCUAAGUGUAAAUGCGGCAAUACAUAGAACACCUUUGUCUCUGGAUUUCACUUUCAAGAGAGAAUUAGCAGAGCUGAUAUUUCACCAAAAUACGUUUUAUCUUUUCCUCUUUCCUUCUUGCUUUUGGACAUCAGUAAUUGUUGCCUGCAAGAAUGAGUGUACUGGGAAUAGAGGCCUGUUUACAGCUGUUGCUAUGAAGCCAACAGCAGUGAUCUGUCCUUGUGGUUAUAAUGAUUCUAUCAGUUUGAAUCAGAUCAUAGACAUUCUCAUCUGUAACAGCAAAAACAGCUAGUAGGCAUUAAUAAGCACAGUGUGUUGUGACUUGAAGAUGCAAGAACAACAUUUAAAUGAGUGAACUUAAUGUGUUAAUCUGCUCCUGUAAGCACAACAAUAUGAAGAUCUGAUAGUACAUCUAGAUGCAAGUCUUGUGAAAUCCUAAAUACUUGUUGGAACAAAUAUCUUUACAGGCAGUCGGUUUGCUUUACGUUAGGUCAGUUCUGUCUGUUUGUUUGUUUUUAAACUUCCUUAACAGUCCAUAUUGGAGAAGCUACAAUCAAAAAUAGUCACCCCAGUUGUCUCCUUCUCAAAUGUGAAUCCUAAAUAGCCCCAGAUAUGCCUCUUGACUCUGCGUAGCAAAUCUGACUUAAGUGUUGAUGUAGGUAUUACAAAAGAUAAGCUUUUCUUCCCUAACAUUUAAUCCUUGUGUUGAACUACAACUUUGUCACUUUGCUUUUUCUCCAGAAUUCUUAUUCUAUGUUCCUAAAUGGUUAUGCUUAUUUGUAUUCAUCAUGUAUUUAUUUAUUUUUUUCUAACUUCAUUGUAAAUAGUGAGGGAGAUCACUGUUUUGUGAAUAAAAAUAUUCAUUCUGCACUUAAUAAAAGUUAA
rnacentral:lncRNA from 1 species